UAAAAGAUUUGUCAAAUCAAUAAAAAAAACAGCAGCGGAAUAUUCAAUCAUCCUCAGGAGAAGAGAUCCAGCUUUGUGCCCAUCUCUUAGGCGGUCGUCGAGGUAAUCUUUCCCCAAAGGAUUGUCCGGUCAUACACAUUUUCGCUAUUCUCUCUUCAUCCAUUCGGUCAACGUGCUCCGACCACAUCCUCUCCUCACGUUGGACAACUUGGCUACAUCUUGCAAGCCUCAAUCAUCCCUGAUGGACUCGCAGAUCUGCCGAUCCCAAAGUUUUCCAGUCGAUUAUCGUAAAGAUGGCCCAGAGCACGAGAGGAUCUUUGAGCGAAGCGCUGCACGCUUUAAAGGUCUCAGAACGCCAGCGACGAAAACGGCUUCUGGAAGCUCGAUCAAAUCCGAACGUAAUGGCAAAUGCGGCCGCGGUAGAAUAUUUGGACGGCCUCGAGGAACUCCACUUCGCAUAUAAGAAACGUCGCGAGCACUUUGAAAAUGUCUAUAGGUUGAUUCGAAUUAAUGGGCCAUCACGGGAACCAUCGGAUUCGAUGAAGAAAAUUUUGAGAUGCAUCAGAGACAUGGAACUAAUGUGGAAAUUUCACGACGGUCUCUUACUGGGACAAACCUGUGAGGACGCCUUAAGUAAAACAGAAAAACCGUUAAGCGAUGAGCCGCAACUAAAUCAACUCCUAUUAACCUUUGCUACUACCGCCGUCCAGUAUUAUCACACUCUAAAUUAUUUUGAUGAGGCAUUGAGAGCCAGUCCUUUGGCUUAUUAUUUAUUUACUCAAGACGAAUAGAACAUUUCAGAAAUUCAAUGAAUAAUCG
rnacentral:lncRNA from 1 species